CUUUCUAGGACGUGUUUUAUGCCACUUCUUUUUCUGUCUCAUUUUGUCCACCACACUUUUAACGUUGUGCAUGAGUGCAUAAAGUUCCAGUCCUGGAGCAUCUGGAUCAGGAACGUCCCCCAGCCCGUCUUUUCCGUGGAAAUAGCUGGCGUGUCUCUCGUUGGACAGCAACGGCUCGGAGCAUCCGGCGUACACUGGAAUCUGCGGAAUUUGGGACGACUUUCAGAACCCGGAGCGUGUUCUUCAGGACGUUCUCCAGGGUGGUGUUGCCAUGGGAGCAGGUUAUCCCCAAUAUCUCCACAUUGGGGGCGGCCAGGGCUAUCAUGAUGGCCUGGGCAUCAUCCACCCCCGUGUCCACAUCCAGAAUCAGCUUCUUUUUCAUCCUACGUCCAAGCAACAGAAACUGCCCACUCAGCACUAACACGUAUUAAAACAGAAUAAUUAACUAAUUAAUUAGAUGCCUGAAAAAAAUAUGUGCCUCAGUGACAGCGUUAAAU